CUACGGGACGCAGCAGUGGGGAAUAUUGCACAAUGGAGGAAACUCUGAUGCAGCAACGCCGCGUGGAGGAUGACACUUUUCGGAGCGUAAACUCCUUUUAUAUAGGAAGAAGAUGACGGUACUAUAUGAAUAAGCGCCGGCUAACUCCGUGCCAGCAGCCGCGGUAAUACGGAGGGCGCAAGCGUUACUCGGAAUCACUGGGUGUAAAGAGCGUGUAGGCGGAUUAAAAAGUCAGAAGUGAAAUCCUAUAGCUUAACUAUAGAACUGCUUCUGAAACUCUUAAUCUAGAAUAUGGGAGAGGUAGAUGGAAUUUCUGGUGUAGGGGUAAGAUCCGUAGAGAUCAGAAGGAAUACCGAUUGCGAAGGCGAUCUACUAGAACAUUAUUGACGCUGAGACGCGAAAGCGUGGGGAGCAAACAGGAUUAGAUACCCUUGUAGUC
rnacentral:rRNA from 1 species